GCUUGCGCCGUGACCUUUGUUGCCAUGGUAAUCAUGGCUGUACCUUGAACCUAAAUUCCAUGUUUCCGGUUGACCAUUGCUAAUUAAGGCCGUGUCGCUUAAGGCUCUACCACAGCACACCUGAUCUACGCAUGACACAGUGCGCAUCUUUGUUUAAACCUCAAGAGGAUUUAGAUUCAAAGCCUAUUUUAAUUUUUGGAUCUCGUUUAUUAUCUUACAGAGGAGCAAUGUGCUGAAAUAUAAGGCAAGACCAACAAUGUGUAAAGAGGAUUGCUAAUGCAAUCAGAAACUUGAUGGCUGAGAUAAAGCGGCUGAGGAGAACAGAGGCUUGUGACUGGAAUAGGUUGGUGGAACUUGUGUACAGCCCUUUCUAUGUUCAACCAAUGUCUCAGGUGGAAGUACAUUUAGUAGUUUUCAUGGAGAAUGAUGUGGCUGCUGGGACAUAACUAAAAUCUACAUUCAACUGCUUGCAGAUCUCAAGAAGCCUGGGGUUCUCGUGCAGCGCUGCAAGCACUCAGGCUGAUUGGGAAGUUAAUUUCUGGUCCUUCAAUAAAGCUCAGUUACAAGAAUGCAAUGUGGCGAUCAAAUGUACUCUGUUUCUUAAAGUCAUGGAAGCGUUGUUGACUUCUACUGAACCUUUCUUGGUGCGACAGCUGGAGAGGUAUCUGAUGGGAAAUCUGAUUGGUGUUCAGCUGACUCAUAAGUGGGAGCAAGGUGAUCAGGGUGUGUCGCAAUACAGUGGAAGGACUAUUAAAAGGGUGCCAGCAACAAAAUAAAAGUCUGCUCUUUACACCAUAAGCUACUGGGCAGAGGAUGAGGAUAAUGCUGAGGAUUUCAGUCAUCUGGCAGAAUCACUGGUUGUUAACUUUGUAGGAAUCUUGUUUUUCUUUCUGAAUAAUAGCUAAUCAGAAUUUCAGAGUACUUCUUCCAUUUUUAGUAUAAAAAUGAACUUUAUUUUUUAAACAUUAGUGUUUUUGUAAAUUCUUACUGAAAAAAUGAUUGCUGUGAAUUGUAAACUUAUUUUGAAAACUAAUACUAACAAUGUUUAUAAUUAAGUUUAGUUUUCAUAGUGUAAAAAAAAAUUACAUUUUAAUUAAUUACUUAACUUAUUUUUCAUGGUAAUUGAAAUCAGCUAGAUAAUCCUAGAAUCAGUAGUUAAUGUGCUUCAAAAAUGUUGGUCCAAACUAAUUUAUCACACAAGUACUAACGCUUUUUAAAAUAUAUUUUUUUCCUCAGAUGUGCUAAUUGUAUCUAAAGAUUAAUUAUAAUUGAUACUUAAGAAAAUUGUUUUAACACUAAGAGACUAAAGUGGUCCAAGAAGUUUUUCGACACCUAUUUUUUUUCCAGCAUAAUUCAAUGAAUGGUUAGAUUUACUAGUAAUUAUACUUUAAACCAAUAUUUUAAUGUUUAUUCCUUGAUAAUUAAUACUACUUUUCUUCUUAAGAGAUCUUAAUGAGACGAGGCUGAUUUCUUGUACUGUAGAUUUGUUUCUUCACACUAAUUAUGAUUAUGUAACUUUUUUACAGUACUGUGUUGGUCGUAGAUUAUACAAGGGCUAAAUUGAGGUUGUCACUAUGUAGUUUAUUUCUUUGCUCUGAUAAACAUAUUUUUAAAUUAGUGCAAAAAAUCUUUUUUUUUACUUUGCCAUUCUCCUAAAUGUUUCUAUCUUAUUAGACAAAAUUAAAAUUCAUGUGGUAAUCUGAUUACUGUAUUUUAAUACUGUGUUUCUCACAUUCUAAUAAUUUACAUUGCAUAGUUUAGUAGUAAUAAACACUGGUACACAC